GAUGAACGCUGGCGGCGUGCCUAAUACAUGCAAGUCGAGCGAAGCGGGGACGGGUGAGUAACGGGUGGCUAACCUCCUAUAAGACUGGGUUAGCUUCGGGAAACCGGAGCUAAACCGGAUACUUGUUGAUGGAUCCGCGCUGCAUUAGCUGGUUGGUAAGGUAACGGCUUACCAAGGCAACAAUGAAUAGCCGACCUGAGAGGGUGAUCGGCCACACGGGAACUGAGACACGGUCCAGACUCCGACGGGAGGCAGCAGUAGGGAAUCUUCCGCAAUGGGCGAAAGCCUGACCGAGCAACGCCGCGUGAGUGAUGAAGGUCUUCGGAUCGUAAAACUCUGUUAUUAGGGAAGCGGUACCUAAUCAGAAAGCCACGGCUAACUACGUGCCAGCAGCCGCGGUAAUAC
rnacentral:rRNA from 1 species